ACUUUACAAUGCGGGAAACCGUGAUAAGGGAACCCCGAGUGCCCGUAAAUUCGGGCUGUUCACCAGUGCAAACAGCUGGUGGAGAAAGGGCCGGGCAAGACCGGUGCCAGCCGCCGCGGUAAUACCGGCGGCUCGAGUGGUGGCCACUAUUACUGGGCUUAAAGCGUCCGUAGCUGGGUUGUUAAGUCUCUGGGGAAAUCUUCCGGCUUAACCGGAAGGCGUCUCAGGGAUACUGGCAAUCUAGGGAUCGGAAGAGGUGAGGGGUACUCCAGGGGUAGAGUGAAAUCUUGUAAUCCUUGAAGGACCACCAGUGGCGAAGGCGUCUCACCAGAACGGACCUGACGGCAAGGGACGAAAGCUAGGGGCACGAACCGG
rnacentral:rRNA from 1 species